rnacentral:rRNA from 1 species
AUUGAACGCUGGCGGCAGGCCUAACACAUGCAAGUCGAACGGUAACAGGAAGAAGCUUGCUUCUUUGCUGACGAGUGGCGGACGGGUGAGUAAUGUCUGGGAAACUGCCUGAUGGAGGGGGAUAACUACUGGAAACGGUAGCUAAUACCGCAUAACGUCGCAAGACCAAAGAGGGGGACCUUCGGGCCUCUUGCCAUCGGAUGUGCCCAGAUGGGAUUAGCUAGUAGGUGGGGUAACGGCUCACCUAGGCGACGAUCCCUAGCUGGUCUGAGAGGAUGACCAGCCACACUGGAACUGAGACACGGUCCAGACUCCUACGGGAGGCAGCAGUGGGGAAUAUUGCACAAUGGGCGCAAGCCUGAUGCAGCCAUGCCGCGUGUAUGAAGAAGGCCUUCGGGUUGUAAAGUACUUUCAGCGGGGAGGAAGGGAGUAAAGUUAAUACCUUUGCUCAUUGACGUUACCCGCAGAAGAAGUACCGGCUAACUCCGUG